GACGAACGCUGGCGGCGUGCUUAACACAUGCAAGUCGAGCGAGAAAGCUCCUUCGGGAGUGAGUACAGCGGCGAACGGGUGAGUAACACGUGGGCAACCUGCCCUAGGGAGCGGGACAACCCGAGGAAACUCGGGCUAAUACCGCAUGAUUCGUCAUGUCUCAAGGCAUGACGGGAAAUGGUAGCUUCGGCCUCCGCCCUAGGAGUGGGCCCGGCCGGCGCAUUAGCUUGGGUUGUGGGUAACGGCUCACCAAGGCGACGAUGCGUAGCUGGUCUGAGAGGACGAUCAGCCACACUGGGACUGAGACACGGCCCAGACUCCUACGGGAGGCAGCAGUGGGGAAUCUUGCGCAAUGGGCGGAAGCCUGACGCAGC
rnacentral:rRNA from 1 species